rnacentral:rRNA from 1 species
UACCCGCUGGGUUAAGCAUAUCACUGAGCGCAGGAGAAGAAACUAACCAGGAUUUCCCUAGUAACGGCGAGCGAACCGGAAAGAGCCCAGCUUGAAAAUCGUGGCGCCCCGGCGCCUCGAAUUGUAGUCUGGAGAAGGUCCCUCUGCGGCGCGCCGGACCCAAGUUCCCUGGAAAGGGACGCCAUCGAGGGUGAGAGCCCCGCUGAUUCCGGAGUGCGCCGCUCCACGAGGACCUGUCUGCGAGUCGGGCUGUUUGGGAAUGCAGCCCUAAGCGGGUGGUAAAUUCCAUCCAAGGCUAAAUAUUGGCAAGAGACCGAUAGCGAACAAGUACCGCGAGGGAAAGAUGAAAAGGACUUUGAAAAGAGAGUUAAAAAGUGCUUGAAAUUGCUGGGAGGGAAGCGAAUGGAAGCUGCGGGUGCGCCCCGGUUGGAUGUGGAACGGCUGUCAAAGGCUGGUCCGCCGCUCAACGCGGGGCGCUGGUCAGCGUGGGCCAUCGCGGCGGGACAAGAGCGGGGAUUCGCUUCCCGCCGAUGCCGCUGCGGUGGCCGAGGAACGAAGCGCGCGCUCUUCAUGGGUGUGGGACUUGUCCCAACUGCGCGCUCGGGACGCUGGCGUAUUGAGCUCUUCAUCCGACCCGUCUUGAAACACGGACCAAGGAGUCUAACAUGUAUGCGAGCCGGUGGGCGGCAAACCCAUUGAGGCGCAAGUAACCUGACAGGUGGGACCCCGACCGCAAGGGAGGGAGCACCAUCGACCGACCGUGAUCUUCUGUGAAGGGUUCGAGUUGUGAGCA